rnacentral:rRNA from 1 species
AAAUUGAAGAGUUUGAUCAUGGCUCAGAUUGAACGCUGGCGGCAGGCCUAACACAUGCAAGUCGAACGGUAACAGGAAGCAGCUUGCUGCUUCGCUGACGAGUGGCGGACGGGUGAGUAAUGUCUGGGAAACUGCCUGAUGGAGGGGGAUAACUACUGGAAACGGUGGCUAAUACCGCAUAACGUCGCAAGACCAAAGAGGGGGACCUUCGGGCCUCUUGCCAUCAGAUGUGCCCAGAUGGGAUUAGCUUGUUGGUGAGGUAACGGCUCACCAAGGCGACGAUCCCUAGCUGGUCUGAGAGGAUGACCAGCCACACUGGAACUGAGACACGGUCCAGACUCCUACGGGAGGCAGCAGUGGGGAAUAUUGCACAAUGGGCGCAAGCCUGAUGCAGCCAUGCCGCGUGUAUGAAGAAGGCCUUCGGGUUGUAAAGUACUUUCAGCGGGGAGGAAGGUGUUGCGGUUAAUAACCGCAGCAAUUGACGUUACCCGCAGAAGAAGCACCGGCUAACUCCGUGCCAGCAGCCGCGGUAAUACGGAGGGUGCAAGCGUUAAUCGGAAUUACUGGGCGUAAAGCGCACGCAGGCGGUCUGUCAAGUCGGAUGUGAAAUCCCCGGGCUCAACCUGGGAACUGCAUUCGAAACUGGCAGGCUUGAG